rnacentral:rRNA from 1 species
UGGGGAAUUUUGCGCAAUGGACGAAAGUCUGACGCAGCAACGCCGCGUGGGUGAUGAAGGUCUUCGGAUUGUAAAACCCUGUCGUCAGGGACGAAGGGUUGCGACCUAAUACGUCGUGACUUUGACGGUACCUGGAGAGGAAGCCCCGGCUAACUCUGUGCCAGCAGCCGCGGUAAUACAGAGGGGGCAAGCGUUAUUCGGAAUUAUUGGGCGUAAAGGGCGCGUAGGCGGCGUCGUAAGUAGGAUGUGUAAUCCCCGAGCUUAACUUGGGAACUGCAUCCUAGACUGCGAUGCUAGAGUGCUGGAGAGGGUGGUAGAAUUCCACGUGUAGCGGUGAAAUGCGUAGAGAUGUGGAGGAAUACCAGUGGCGAAGGCGGCCACCUGGACAGUAACUGACGCUGAGGCGCGAAAGUGUGGGUAGCAAACAGG